CAUGUUAGUGUUUAUCUGUAAAUAAUAUUUAAAGAAUACAUGUCAGUGUUUAUGUAAAUAACAAUACAUCAAUAAUUUUUUUUUAGUGUUUAUCUGUAAUAUUUUUCCAAAACUUUUUGGGACUAAAAUGUCUUAGCUUACCCCCAAAUUGAAAAAAAAAAGUGUAUAAUAUUACACAGCGCCCCUCUGUGGUGGUUUAAGGAAAUCAUUCCAGUGAGAAACGCCCCCUUUUUUUUUUCCAGGGCUGUCAAUGUCACCUGACUAAGGUCGAAGGUUAGAGCGGCCAUCUUGUUUCCCCAUGUUGUGUAUGUGAGACAUGUGCUGGACAAACAUGUCCUUCUGAAGCUCUGCAGCGUCCUUGUUGAGCCUCCAAGAAGCUUCUUUAAGCAGCAUCUCUUCAUCCAGAAACAACACCAGAAAUUUGUCCCGUGAAAAACCAUCCAACCAGAACUCUAAUAACUAAAGUUCCUCGGGUGAAUAAUGUCAACUCACAACACCGAAAUGGCAACAGUGGAGGAUGGAUUUCAAGAACAAGAAGGUGGAGACAAAGAAGAAGCUUAUUGACUACGGGGUCGGCACGGACUACAAAGGCGGAUCUGCACACAUUUUCAGGACUUGCGCGGAUCCCAAAUACAGAUCAGCAGGUACC